UAACCGGAGAAGUGCAUCGGAAACUGGGAGACUUGAGUGCAGAAGAGGACAGUGGAACUCCAUGUGUAGCGGUGGAAUGCGUAGAUAUAUGGAAGAACACCAGUGGCGAAGGCGGCUGUCUAGUCUGUAACUGACGCUGAGGCUCGAAAGCAUGGGUAGCGAACAGGAUUAGAUACCCUGGUAGUCCAUGCCGUAAACGAUGAGUGCUAAGUGUUGGAGGGUUUCCGCCCUUCAGUGCUGCAGCUAACGCAUUAAGCACUCCGCCUGGGGAGUACGACCGCAAGGUUGAAACUCAAAGGAAUUGACGGGGGCCCGCACAAGCGGUGGAGCAUGUGGUUUAAUUCGAAGCUACGCGAAGAACCUUACCAGGUCUUGACAUCUUCUGCCAAUCUUAGAGAUAAGACGUUCCCUUCGGGGACAGAAUGACAGGUGGUGCAUGGUUGUCGUCAGCUCGUGUCGUGAGAUGUUGGGUUAAGUCCCGCAACGAGCGCAACCCUUAUUAUCAGUUGCCAGCAUUCAGUUGGGCACUCUGGUGAGACUGCCGGUGACAAACCGGAGGAAGGUGGGGAUGACGUCAAAUCAUCAUGCCCCUUAUGACCUGGGCUACACACGUGCUACAAUGGACGGUACAACGAGUUGCGAAGUCGUGAGGCUAAGCUAAUCUCUUAAAGCCGUUCUCAGUUCGGAUUGUAGGCUGCAACUCGCCUACAUGAAGUUGGAAUCGCUAGUAAUCGCGGAUCAGCAUGCCGCGGUGAAUACGUUCCCGGGCCUUGUACACACCGCCCGUCACACCAUGAGAGUUUGUAACACCCAAAGCCGGUGAGAUAACCUUCGGGAGUCAGCCGUCUAAGGUGGGACAGAUGAUUAGGGUGAAGUCGUAACAAGGUAGCCGUAGGAGAACCUGCGGCUGGAUCACCUCCUUU
rnacentral:rRNA from 1 species